rnacentral:rRNA from 1 species
CCAGACUCCUACGGGAGGCAGCAGUAGGGAAUCUUCGGCAAUGGACGGAAGUCUGACCGAGCAACGCCGCGUGAGUGAAGAAGGUUUUCGGAUCGUAAAGCUCUGUUGUAAGAGAAGAACGAGUGUGAGAGUGGAAAGUUCACACUGUGACGGUAUCUUACCAGAAAGGGACGGCUAACUACGUGCCAGCAGCCGCGGUAAUACGUAGGUCCCGAGCGUUGUCCGGAUUUAUUGGGCGUAAAGCGAGCGCAGGCGGUUAGAUAAGUCUGAAGUUAAAGGCUGUGGCUUAACCAUAGUACGCUUUGGAAACUGUUUAACUUGAGUGCAAGAGGGGAGAGUGGAAUUCCAUGUGUAGCGGUGAAAUGCGUAGAUAUAUGGAGGAACACCGGUGGCGAAAGCGGCUCUCUGGCUUGUAACUGACGCUGAGGCUCGAAAGCGUGGGGAGCAAACAGGAUUAGAUACCCUGGUAGUCCACGCCGUAAACGAUGAGUGCUAGGUGUUAGACCCUUUCCGGGGUUUAGUGCCGUAGCUAACGCAUUAAGCACUCCGCCUGGGGAGUACGACCGCAAGGUUGAAACUCAAAGGAAUUGACGGGGGCCCGCACAAG